rnacentral:rRNA from 1 species
GACGAACGCUGGCGGCGUGCCUAAUACAUGCAAGUAGAACGCUGAAGAGAGGAGCUUGCUCUUCUUGGAUGAGUUGCGAACGGGUGAGUAACGCGUAGGUAACCUGCCUUGUAGCGGGGGAUAACUAUUGGAAACGAUAGCUAAUACCGCAUAACAAUGGAUGACACAUGUCAUUUAUUUGAAAGGGGCAAUUGCUCCACUACAAGAUGGACCUGCGUUGUAUUAGCUAGUAGGUGAGGUAAUGGCUCACCUAGGCGACGAUACAUAGCCGACCUGAGAGGGUGAUCGGCCACACUGGGACUGAGACACGGCCCAAACUCCUACGGGAGGCAGCAGUAGGGAAUCUUCGGCAAUGGGGGCAACCCUGACCGAGCAACGCCGCGUGAGUGAAGAAGGUUUUCGGAUCGUAAAGCUCUGUUGUAAGUCAAGAACGGGUGUGAGAGUGGAAAGUUCACACUGUGACGGUAGCUUACCAGAAAGGGACGGCUAACUACGUG